UCCGAACGCCUGCAGUCGACGAUUAGAGUUUGAUCCUGGCUCAGAUUGAACGCUGGCGGCAGGCCUAACACAUGCAAGUCGAGCGGCAGCGGGAAGUAGCUUGCUACUUUGCCGGCGAGCGGCGGACGGGUGAGUAAUGUCUGGGAAACUGCCUGAUGGAGGGGGAUAACUACUGGAAACGGUAGCUAAUACCGCAUAAUGUCGCAAGACCAAAGAGGGGGACCUUCGGGCCUCUUGCCAUUAGAUGUGCCCAGAUGGGAUUAGCUAGUAGGUGGGGUAACGGCUCACCUAGGCGACGAUCCCUAGCUGGUCUGAGAGGAUGACCAGCCACACUGGAACUGAGACACGGUCCAGACUCCUACGGGAGGCAGCAGUGGGGAAUAUUGCACAAUGGGCGCAAGCCUGAUGCAGCCAUGCCGCGUGUAUGAAGAAGGCCUUCGGGUUGUAAAGUACUUUCAGCGGGGAGGAAGGUGUUGAGGUUAAUAACCUCAGCAAUUGACGUUACCCGCAGAAGAAGCACCGGCUAACUCCGUGCCAGCAGCCGCGGUAAUACGGAGGGUGCAAGCGUUAAUCGGAAUUACUGGGCGUAAAGCGCACGCAGGCGGUCUGUCAAGUCGGAUGUGAAAUCCCCGGGCUCAACCUGGGAACUGCAUUCGAAACUGGCAGGCUAGAGUCUUGUAGAGGGGG
rnacentral:rRNA from 1 species